GCCUAACACAUGCAAGUCGAACGGAACUAAUUUGACUGAUUCCUUCGGGAUGAAGAAUUUUUAGUUUAGUGGCGGACGGGUGAGUAACGCGUGAGUAACCUGCCUCUGAGAGGGGAAUAACGUUCUGAAAAGAACGCUAAUACCGCAUAACACAUAUUUGCCGCAUGACAGAUAUGUCAAAGAUUUUAUCGCUCGGAGAUGGACUCGCGUCCGAUUAGUUAGUUGGUGAGGUAACGGCUCACCAAGACCGCGAUCGGUAGCCGGACUGAGAGGUUGAACGGCCACAUUGGGACUGAGACACGGCCCAGACUCCUACGGGAGGCAGCAGUGGGGGAUAUUGCGCAAUGGGGGCAACCCUGACGCAGCAACGCCGCGUGAAGGAUGAAGGUUUUCGGAUUGUAAACUUCUUUUAUCAGGGACGAAUUUUGACGGUACCUGAUGAAUAAGCUCCGGCUAACUACGUGCCAGCCGCCGCCGUAAAAC
rnacentral:rRNA from 1 species